rnacentral:rRNA from 1 species
CCUUGUCUUAGUUACCAGCACGUUAUGGUGGGCACUCUAAGGAGACUGCCGGUGACAAACCGGAGGAAGGUGGGAUGACGUCAAGUCAUCAUGGCCCUUACGGCCUGGGCUACACACGUGCUACAAUGGUCGGUACAAAGGGUUGCCAAGCCGCGAGGUGGAGCUAAUCCCAUAAAACCGAUCGUAGUCCGGAUCGCAGUCUGCAACUCGACUGCGUGAAGUCGGAAUCGCUAGUAAUCGUGAAUCAGAAUGUCACGGUGAAUACGUUCCCGGGCCUU